rnacentral:rRNA from 1 species
UAGCCGUAAACGAUACUCGCUAGGUGUCGGCCACGGUGCGACCGUUGUCGGUGCCGUAGGGAAGCCGUGAAGCGAGCCACCUGGGAAGUACGGCCGCAAGGCUGAAACUUAAAGGAAUUGGCGGGGGAGGCACCACAACGGGUGGGAGCUUGCGGUUUAAUUGGACUCAACGCCGGGAAGCUCACCGGAUAAGACAGCGGAAUGAUUGCCGGGCUGAAGACCCUGCAUGACCAGCUGAGAGGAGGUGCAUGGCGUAGUCG